CCCUUAGAUGUUCUGGGCUGCACGCGCGCUACACUGGCGCGUUCAGCGAGUUUAGCACCUUAACAGAUAUGUUUGGGUAAUCUUCUGAAAACGCACCGUGAUGGGGAUCGAUUAUUGUAAUUAUUAAUCGUCAACGAGGAAUUCCUAGUAAGUGUGAAUCAUCAGUUCGCGCUGAUUACGUCCCUGCCCUUUGUACACACCGCCCGUCGCUGCUACCGAUUGAGUGGUCCGGUGAAUUAUUCGGACCGGUGGACUGUGGGGAAACCCGCGGCCUGCUGGGAAGUCUUGUGAACCUUAUCACUUAGAGGAAGCAGAAGUCGUAACA
rnacentral:rRNA from 1 species